UAAGUCGUCGGUCCACCUGGUUGGAGGG
rnacentral:sRNA from 1 species